ACCACCGUGGUGAAAUGGAAGACACACUAGACUUAAAAUCUGGAGGCAUAGCCAUAUGAGUUCAAGUCUCAUCGGUGGUA
rnacentral:tRNA from 2 species